rnacentral:rRNA from 1 species
GAAGGCAGCAGGCGCGCAAAUUACCCAAUCCCGACACGGGGAGGUAGUGACAAUAAAUAACAAUACAGGGUUCUUUUGGAUCUUGUAAUUGGAAUGAGUACAAUUUAAAUCUCUUAACGAGGAACAAUUGGAGGGCAAGUCUGGUGCCAGCAGCCGCGGUAAUUCCAGCUCCAAUAGCGUAUAUUAAAGUUGUUGCAGUUAAAAAGCUCGUAGUUGAAUUUCGGGAUCAAUAUUUCGGUCAUGCCGUUGGUAUGCACUGUUAUCAUUGAUUUCUCACCUCCUAAAGAACCGUGAUGCCAUUAAUUUGGUGUUACGGGGAAUUAGGACUGUUACCUUGAAAAAAUUAGAGUGUUUAAAGCAGGCUCACGCUUGAAUACAUUAGCAUGGAAUAAUGAAAUAGGACAUCCGAUUCUAUUUUGUUGGUUUCUAGGAUCGAUGUAAUGAUUAAUAGGGAUAGUUGGGGGCAUUAGUAUUCAAUUGUCAGAGGUGAAAUUCUUGGAUUUAUUGAAGACUAACUACUGCGAAAGCAUUUGCCAAGGAUGUUUUCAUUAAUCAAGAACGAAAGUUAGGGGAUCGAAGACGAUCAGAUACCGUCGUAGUCUUAACCAUAAACUAUGCCGACUAGGGAUCGGAUGAUGUUAAUUUUUUAAUGACUCAUUCGGCGCCUUACGGGA